rnacentral:RNase_P_RNA from 1 species
AUAGCGGCGGCUAUCCUAUCGCCCGACCCUGUGUCGGGAGGAAAGUCCGGGCAGCGCGAGCCACCAUGCUUCCUAACGGGAAGGGGCUGUAUUGUAACGAUAUGGCUACAGCAAGCGCCACAGAAAACAGACCGCCUCCGCCCCAUGCGGGGGUAAGGGUGAAAACGCGGGGUAAGAGCCCACGACACGUCCCGGUGACGGGCGCGAUGGCAAGCCUCAUGGGCUGAAAGACCAAAUACACCGACAAGCCUACGGGCAGCGGGCCGGCUCGCCUGCACUGUCGGGGGGUAGGUCGAUAGAGACCGUCGGCGACGGCGGCCCGAGAUUAAUGAUAGGACACGACAGAACCCGGCUUACAGGCACCGCUAUUUUU